rnacentral:lncRNA from 1 species
UAUCAGCCUCGAGUCUUUUUCCAGGUGGUGUGCAAUCCUGGCUGGAGAACUUGCGCAAGGCUACCUGCCUCCCAGUUGUGAAAGAAAAGGGCUUGGUGCCUCCCCUGCCUGUGGAGUCUGCACACUGGAUUGGCACCCACCUCUGAGUUCUGGCCAGGAGGCUUCUUGCCCCAUUCAAAUUGUUACAAAGUUCAGCUGGAAAUUACCUUCUCCCUGUGGUGUUUUCCCCCUACUCCUCUGGCUGCCCUCCUGAUGGAUCCUUGUGGUGCCAGGCAGGAAUGGCCUGCCUGGGGACCCAGUGAGCUGCCAGGGCCUUUGUGAUGCUUCCUCUACCCCUGUAUUUCUCUUGGCUUUCUAAAUGGACUCAGCUCCAGGUCCCUGAUCAACCAGUCAAGCCGUUCACCACCGCUCGUUUAAUUGAAUGCUCCAGUUCUUUUCAUUUCCGAAGUUAUGGUGAGAAGAACUAAGUGGAAAAUGGUGAUAAAUUACCUGAUAUGCAAAAGCGCAUUCUGCUAAAUGGAAGACAUCCUCAAUUCUGUUGGAGGGGCAGUUACUAUUGAAAUGCAUAAAUGUUUGAGACUAAAUAUUUUCAUAAUACUGUUUUCUCUCCACACCAAGUACUUUUCUCCUGUUUAUAUUGGUAGAAUAUCACAGUUUGUUUGGAUUAAAGUGUAACUUAAAUGUGCACUACAUAAAUUUUGAGAAGAGCUCUACCCCAUGAGAUUUUUUUUUUCUUUUCUUUUCUUUUUUUUUUUUUUGAGAUGGAGUCUCACCCUGUCGCCCAGGCUGGAAUGCAGUGGCACAAGCUCGGCUCACUGCAAGCUCCACCUCAUGGUUCACGCCAUUCUUCUGCCUCAGCCUCCCAAGUAGCUGGGACUACAGGCACCCGCCACCAUGCCUGGCUAAUUUUUUUGUAUUUUUAUUAGAGAUGGGGUUUCACUGUGUGUUAGCCAGGAUGGUCUCGAUCUCCUGACCUCGUGAUCCGCCUGCCUUGGCCUCCCAAAGUGCUGGGAUUACAGGUGUGAGCUACCGCACCUGGCCCCCAUGAGAUUCCUAAUAUCAUUUGUGCCAUGACAUUGUGCUACACCCAAAUGUAUAUUUUAUUUUAUCAUUUCAAAAUAAUUCAAUAAAUAUAAUUUUAAAAGCAAACAC